UUUGGCAAGAACUAUAUGCAAUCAACUCCAACCAUAUGUAUUAGUUAAAUGAGUCACACAUUCCCUCAGAGGCCAGCAACGGACAAGGUAAUUAAUGUAUCAUUGGACAUCAUAUCACAUGUAUUUCAUUCUAUCUCCAUAGAUAUCCUGACAUAUGUUCCUUGUGCUUUGGGACUAACCCAUGUAGGUGACAAUAGUAAGAAACAACAAGGAUUGCUCCCAAC
rnacentral:lncRNA from 1 species